GUGACCAUACAAAGGAGGAGAGGGGGCAGGUUUUCAAGGACUCAGCUGUCAAAUCCCAUGUUGGAGAUGGUUGGAGGUGAUCUCUGGAAAGGAGGCGUUUUGGUCUUUGGCUGGCUGAACACACCCAAGGAGGGUGAACCUGAGACCUCAGGGGAAGGGAAAUGACCCCAGUUUAAAACUGUAGCUGGAACAGAAGCAGUUUUAAGGCAGACUGGAAUGUCCUUCUGGAGAUGCCAGUUGAAAAAAAUUUGGAAAAUGGAUGUCUGGUCACAAAAAUAAAUGUCCCUUUUAACAUUCCUGAA